UUCUACCUCCGACUCUUCAUUUUCUAACCUAACCAGUUCAUCUCAGACUCUCUUCUUUCCCGUUCUCAUUCUCCCUCUCCAAAUUCAAUUCAAUUCAAAUGGAAGAUCAGCUCACCGAUGACCAGAUCUACGAAUUCAAGGAAACCUUCAGUCUCUUCGAUAAAGAUAAAGAUGUCGAACAUCGUCUAUGGAAGGUACACAGUCUGAUCCGCCGGUGGAGUGAAGUUCUCAAGCCGAAGAUACAGGUCUUGAAGAGCCUCUGUGGCUGGUGCUGAAUCUUAUCCUGAAUUCCCAAAAGAGCUUGAUUGUAUUUACUACUUGAGGACUGGUUUAUGUGGAUAUGGUGCUUGAUGUCGGUUCAACCAUCCCCGGGAUCGAAGUCUGUAUUAUAUGAGAACGGGCAUGUGCAAAUUUGGGGCUUCAUGUAAGUAUCACCAUCCACGACAGGGAGGUGGAACUAUUGGCUCUGUGACAUUCAACAUAUCUGGUCACCCUUUGAGAUCGGGUGAAAUAGAGUGUUCUUACUAUGACCAUUUGUUCACUUACUUUCCAUUUGGAAACUCUUAAAAUUUUUGGAUCUGAAUUUGGAUCCACAUGAGAAACUAACUACAUGUAGUUUGCAUGAGUUUGCAUGUUAUUGAUAAUUGUCUUCUUGAUGAUGUCCAUGGAGAAAACAAAAACUGACUUCAAAUAUUGUUUGUUUUUAUUGGAUUUUUUAAGUAAUGCAUUCUUGUGUUGCAUUUUUUUGUGGUUUACAAGAUCUUUUAGCCUUCAUUAGUGCCUCAAGUGAGAUUACUUACCUCUCUUAGAAGUUAUUUUUAGUGAUUCAACUCAGAAUUCUUGAAAGAUUUUUGAUUUGAUUGUAGAGAUAAGUAGUCCACUUUAGUACCAUAGCACAAGUAAUGAAUUCUCAAAACUUGAUAUAAAUAUAUUAAUUCAUUGAAUUGGGUUAGUUUUCUAAUAGCUUCUCCAUAUGUUGAUUGGUUACCAGAUCAAGAACUUGCAUCAAGCUGUUCUCUACCAAAACCUAAACAUAAUAACAUCUGCACAUGUAAUCCUAAGCUUGUCAAUAUUUCAUAAGAAAAAAAAAUUAUUUACAAAAACUAUCUUUGUAUGAU